rnacentral:rRNA from 1 species
UGCGAAGGAUUCGAGCGUUAUCCGGAUUUAUUGGGCUUAAAGGGUGCGUAGGUGGACUAAUAAGUCAGUGGUGAAAGCCCGGAGCUCAACUCCGGAACUGCCAUUGAUACUGUUAGUCUUGAGUACAGUUGAGGUGUGCGGAAUGUGUCAUGUAGCGGUGAAAUGCUUAGAUAUGACACAGAACACCGAUUGCGAAGGCAGCUCACUAAGCUGUAACUGACACUGAGGCACGAAAGCGUGGGGAGCAAACAGG